GUGACAUUAUCCAAGUGUGGGAACCGCCACAGCGAUCGUUGGGUGAUAUCCGCAGCCAGGACUGCUUCUGUUUUGGUGCAACGACUAAGUCGUAAUGGCCGGCCCUGCCGGUAAAGAGAUAGUCUCAAUCUCGUGGGGAGACCCAUGACAGCUUUUGCAUUAAAUCAGUUAUCGUUUAUUUGAUAAUACCUUACCACUUGGAUAACUGUGGUAAUUCUAGAGCUAAUACAUGCUAAAAACCCCGACUUCGGAAGGGGUGUAUUUAUUAGAUAAAAAACCAAUGCCCUUCGGGGCUCCUUGGUGAUUCAUAAUAACUUAACGAAUCGCAUGGCCUUGCGCCGGCGAUGGUUCAUUCAAAUUUCUGCCCUAUCAACUUUCGAUGGUAGGAUAGUGGCCUACCAUGGUCUUAACGGGUAACGGGGAAUUAGGGUUCGAUUCCGGAGAGGGAGCCUGAGAAACGGCUACCACAUCCAAGGAAGGCAGCAGGCGCGCAAAUUACCCAAUCCCAAUCCGGGGAGGUAGUGACAAUAAAUACUGAUACAGGGCUCUUUCGGGUCUUGUAAUUGGAAUGAGAAAAAUCUAAAUCCCUUAACGAGGAACAAUUGGAGGGCAAGUCUGGUGCCAGCAGCCGCGGUAAUUCCAGCUCCAAUAGCGUAUAUUAAAGUUGUUGCAGUUAAAAAGCUCGUAGUUGAACCUUGGGUCUGGCUGAUCUGUCCUCCUAAUCGAGCGCACGGAUUCGGUCGGACCUUUCCUUCUG
rnacentral:rRNA from 1 species